GAAAGAAGUGAGGACAGAGCAAGUGGCACAAGAAUGAAAAGAAAGAAAGAAAUAGAUAGAAGUAAAAAGGGAGAUCAAAAAAAGGGAUCCAGAGGAAACCAAAAAAUAGGAUCAUAGAGAAAGCUGAAGAAGGAAGUAGCUGAAGGAGGAAACCGAAAAAGCGUUCAUCUACGUAUAACAUCUGUAUGCGUGUGUCUCUGUAAGCGUGCAUUAUUUGGAUGCCUAUUUACGUAUAUGUAUGCGUGUGUACCUGUGUAUGUAUGUAUGGAAAAUCGCGUCUAUAAACAGAAGCACCCAUAGAGUUAGACGUGUUAGCAGGGUUACGGGGUUACGUGUGUUUGAAAAAAGAGGUACGAGAGGCCGUGCAGGUGUGUACCAUGGAUCGAUCAACCGAGAUACGUUUGUCGUUAUCUGUGGAUGAUAAUAGUCGUAGGGGGAAAAAAAUCACAGAAAAAAAGAAAAAAAAAAGACGUUCCUCUGAAAA